CUGAACUGCAGUUGCACUGUGAUUUACUGCCAGGGUUUGACAACAGCAUUCCAUACAUAUCCACUGGAAAAUGCUCUUAAUUUUCCCUCAGGUCUGCCACCCGAGAUACCUACAAAUUCUGAAAUUCAGUGAUGGAGUGAGGGUGGUGAGAGUCAUCACGUUUAACCCGUGACUGCCCCAUUUUUCAUCCUCACAAGGACAUUAAACACAGUGAAACGAGUCCUGCUGGAAGCCUGUGUCUCCCUGAAGUGGGCAAACGAUAGGUUAAGAGAAAGCAAAUGAAAGAAAUCUCCAAGGAGGAGGAGGAGGGAGAGGAUGAGCAGAAGAGGAUAAAAAAACUGGCACUGCACUUAAGGAAAAGAGAGAAAGCCACAUCUUUGGUGAGAGCAGCAACACGUUCUUACAGGCAAGUGGUAAAGAUUCACCUGCAGACACCAGAGCCCUGGGAAAUGCCAAAAUAUGUAAUUUCUUACUCAUGCUCUAGUUUUUAGCAUUAAACCUGUCAGAAAAGGAUGGGUGCUAAAGCAAAAUUGGAAUGUUGCACUCCCAGCUGACUCCAGGCACAAAGCCCUGAAGAGCAGGCACCACUGAAAGGGUUUGUUGUGCUCCUGGAUCCAAACCCUGUGUCCAGCAGCCCUGGCUCUCCUGGAAGGACAGCCCAGGGCUGUGCAGACAUUUCUCCUUUGUUGCAGGGCCUGUCCUACUUAGAGGCUUCUGCAAAAUGAGAUUGCAAGGACGGGAGUCUGCGCUGAGCUCUCGCUGCUCCAGGUGGCUCCUGCAGUGGGAAUUGCAGCCUCCAGCCCUUUCCAAAGAACAAUUGUGUCCCAGAUGGGCUGAAAUAAAAUGAAAUAAGAGAUCUCA
rnacentral:lncRNA from 1 species